CGGGGGAGGCCGGAUCCUGGGCUGUGUCCCGGCGCCCUGUGCUCCCGCACCUGCGGUUUGGAUUCGCGCUCCCGGGCCGCGCAACCCCCU
rnacentral:pre_miRNA from 1 species